rnacentral:sRNA from 1 species
UUUUUCAAUCAUAUUUCGUUGUAUAAAAGCCCCAAAAAGUAUACAUAUAAACACACACAAAGACCACCCAGUGUACAUAUAUCCUAUUUUAUAUCUUUUCCCUUUUCUUUAUUUAUUCAACCAGGCGCAGGCCAUGUCUAUGUCUACGCAGGUAUGCCCCGUUUAUACGCAUCAUUGUAUCCACAUAAAACCAAAAAAAGGAGCCGGGGGGCGGAGAGGGGAAUGCCAGACUGGACUGAGUUAGGAAGGGUGAGGUGCUUUGUAAAAAUGAAAUGCACUCGAUGAUCCGGGCGGGUGACGAAAGGUUCCGCAAGAGAAUCGAGCUGGCUUUUGCUAUGUUAUUUUUUUUUCUAUCGUAUAGGUGUAUAGAAGGCAUAUCUAUCUACAUUUGCUGCACAUGCAGCUUUAUUUGAGUACAUAGUACAUAGCUAGGGUUGAGGAAUAUUUUUUUUUUCCUCUACUAAAACUUUGGACAGAUUUUUUUUUUUUUUUUAGUUCUUUCUGAUACAGUGAGGGCUGCGGGAUGCCUUUUAUCGCUCCAAUCUGUCCCUAUUGCCUAUUUAUUACUUCUGCUGAUCAAAGAUGGGCCAUCGAAUGGGAAGCAUGGUAAAAUAAAACCAAGUUAAAUAACUAACUCCUCUCUAUACUCCGUAAUCUAACAACAAAAAUCGAUAUAUAUAAAGAAAUAUUUGGGAAGGGAAAUAGCAAUUGUCUUGAAAAAAAAAAAAAAGAGCUCUAUAUUAUUACAUAGAUGCUAGUUACAUCUACUUAUUUCAUAUCCUAAGGCUUGAUCGUUCCGUACUCAUACAACACACAACAGGUACAGGGACGGGGACAGAUACAGCACUUAUAAAUUCUGAUCAUGAA